rnacentral:sRNA from 1 species
AUUCCUCCUGUAUAAUUAAAGUUCGUAGAGAAGUUAAAGCGGUGGCUAUUUCCGAUCGGAGGUGGUGCUUAUAGUGUUAAACCUUUAAAGCCCAUAAAUCCUAACGAAAGGAGUAGCCUAAGUGUCCGUGUCGGACGCUUUACAAUUAAUGCUGGCUUUCGGUACGUUUAUCGUAGCCUUAGAACCUGUCUA